UAACAUUAAAUAGCGCAUGAACAUACCUUUCGUAUGUGACGAGGAUGAUAGUUAUCGAACAUUCAGCGGAUACUAUCACGGUGAUUUAGCAUCGAUAUAUAUAGUACAAAAAGUAAAAUCUUUAAUUACUACAAAAACUAUAUAAUCUAAAUAU
rnacentral:ncRNA from 2 species